GAUGAACGCUGGCGGCGUGCCUAAUACAUGCAAGUCGAGCGAACAGACGAGGAGCUUGCUCCUCUGACGUUAGCGGCGGACGGGUGAGUAACACGUGGAUAACCUACCUAUAAGACUGGGAUAACUUCGGGAAACCGGAGCUAAUACCGGAUAAUAUAUUGAACCGCAUGGUUCAAUAGUGAAAGACGGUUUUGCUGUCACUUAUAGAUGGAUCCGCGCCGCAUUAGCUAGUUGGUAAGGUAACGGCUUACCAAGGCAACGAUGCGUAGCCGACCUGAGAGGGUGAUCGGCCACACUGGAACUGAGACGCGGUCCAGACUCCUACGGGAGGCAGCAGUAGGGAAUCUUCCGCAAUGGGCGAAAGCUUGACGGAGCAACGCCGCGUGAGUGAUGAAGGUCUUCGGAUCGUAAAACUCUGUUAUUAGGGAAGAACAAAUGUGUAAGUAACUAUGCACGUCUUGACGGUACCUAAUCAGAAAGCCACGGCUAACUACGUG
rnacentral:rRNA from 1 species